rnacentral:lncRNA from 1 species
GUCAAAGACUUCUCUUGUCUGAAGACACUGACAGGAACUGAGCUGCUGGAGAUGUCAUAUCAGAGUUCACCUGCUGAGGUUGAGAUGACAUGUUUUUACACUGUAAAGCUUGGAGAGUCACAUUACCUAUCUCCACACAGUGACACAUCCUCCGUCACCAUACACAGUGACACAUCCUCCGUCACCAUACACAGUGACACAUCCUCUGUCACCAUACACAGUGAUACAUCCUCCGUCACCAUACACAGUGACACAUCCUCCGUCACCAUACACAGUGACACAUCCUCCGUCACCAUACACAGUGACACAUCCUCCGUCACCAUACACACUCUAAAACCUGAGGUGAGUCUUCAGCAUUUUCCUGGUGAAUACGUUUUCAUGACCUGCACUCUGCCUGGAUCUGCUCAUGAAGAUACGAGAUGUAACCUUUACUUUGGAGAAGAAAGGGAUCCAUUUCAAACAACAACCAUCUUGAAGCAAAGGACCUCAAAGAAUCAGAGGUUCUGCCAGUUUACUGUCACAAUUUCUGAUUUGCUUACCCGUCUCCAUUUUCCUCAAAGAAGCGUCACCAGCUGUGAUUACAGUUUGGGAAGUGAACCAAACUCUUUGUCUCCUCGUAGUGAUGGAUACCGCUUGACUGAUUUGAUUGUUGGCAGACCCGGUGCUUCUGCAACUCCUGUGAAACUGGAAUCAGAUAUUGUGGACAAAGAGACACACUCCACACAGACUAUGGCGACAUCUACUAUGACCACAGGUAGGACUGUUAGCAGGCUCCAUGCCUCCACACCUAUAACUCGGACCAAACGAACGUUAGGUCAGAAUGUUGGAUCCAGCAACACUGGUAGUUUCAUCUCUACUUCUAUCACACCAGUGAAACCAACAUCAGUUGGUCAGACACCUCAUAAAUCUAGCACUAAAGCUAGCUUGCUCCAUGUAACCCCAAUUGAUCCACCAACAGCAGAAACAUGGACAUGGAACUUGGUAGUAGUUGCAGCGUGUCUUGGAGGUGUCAUCUUACUGGGCCUAGCACUUCUCUUUACCAAAAGAAGAACUGAAAGAUGUUCUAGCAAAAGGACACAAGCUGAUGCCACUGAUGACUUAAUGUGCAUGAGAGAGCUUAACCAUGGAGGAUCAGUAAUUAAAAAAUGUUUUCUCUGUCAGAUGUAG